AGUUUGAUGCAUGGCUCAGGACGAACGCCUGGCGGCGUGCCUAAUACAUGCAAGUAGAACGCUGAAGAGAGGAGCUUGCUCUUCUUGGAUGAGUUUGCGAACGGGUGAGUAACGCGUAGGUAACCUGCCUUGUAGCGGGGGAUAACUAUUGGAAACGAUAGCUAAUACCGCAUAACAAUGGAUGACACAUGUCAUUUAUUUGAAAGGGGCAAUUGCUCCACUACAAGAUGGACCUGCGUUGUAUUAGCUAGUAGGUGAGGUAACGGCUCACCUAGGCGACGAUACAUAGCCGACCUGAGAGGGUGAUCGGCCACACUGGGACUGAGACACGGCCCAGACUCCUACGGGAGGCAGCAGUAGGGAAUCUUCGGCAAUGGGGGCAACCCUGACCGAGCAACGCCGCGUGAGUGAAGAAGGUUUUCGGAUCGUAAAGCUCUGUUGUAAGUCAAGAACGAGUGUGAGAGUGGAAAGUUCACACUGUGACGGUAGCUUACCAGAAAGGGACGGCUAACUACGUGCCAGCAGCCGCGGUAAUACGUAGGUCCCGAGCGUUGUCCGGAUUUAUUGGGCGUAAAGCGAGCGCAGGCGGUUUGAUAAGUCUGAAGUUAAAGGCUGUGGCUCAACCAUAGUUCGCUUUGGAAACUGUCAAACUUGAGUGCAGAAGGGGAGAGUGGAAUUCCAUGUGUAGCGGUGAAAUGCGUAGAUAUAUGGAGGAACACCGGUGGCGAAAGCGGCUCUCUGGUCUGUAACUGACGCUGAGGCUCGAAAGCGUGGGGAGCGAACAGGAUUAGAUACCCUGGUAGUCCACGCCGUAAACGAUGAGUGCUAGGUGUUGGAUCCUUUCCGGGAUUCAGUGCCGCAGCUAACGCAUUAAGCACUCCGCCUGGGGAGUACGACCGCAAGGUUGAGACUCAAAGGAAUUGACGGGGGCCCGCACAAGCGGUGGAGCAUGUGGUUUAAUUCGAAGCAACGCGAAGAACCUUACCAGGUCUUGACAUCCCGAUGCUAUUUCUAGAGAUAGAAAGUUACUUCGGUGCAUCGGUGACAGGUGGUGCAUGGUUGUCGUCAGCUCGUGUCGUGAGAUGUUGGGUUAAGUCCCGCAACGAGCGCAACCCCUAUUGUUAGUUGCCAUCAUUCAGUUGGGCACUCUAGCGAGACUGCCGGUAAUAAACCGGAGGAAGGUGGGGAUGACGUCAAAUCAUCAUGCCCCUUAUGACCUGGGCUACACACGUGCUACAAUGGUUGGUACAACGAGUUGCGAGUCGGUGACGGCAAGCUAAUCUCUUAAAGCCAAUCUCAGUUCGGAUUGUAGGCUGCAACUCGCCUACAUGAAGUCGGAAUCGCUAGUAAUCGCGGAUCAGCACGCCGCGGUGAAUACGUUCCCGGGCCUUGUACACACCGCCCGUC
rnacentral:rRNA from 1 species